CACGUAGGGCGCAAGCGUUGUCCGGAAUUAUUGGGCGUAAAGAGCUCGUAGGCGGUCUGUUGCGUCCGCUGUGAAAACUCGGGGCUUAACCCCGAGCCUGCAGUGGAUACGGGCAGACUAGAGGUAGGUAGGGGAGAAUGGAAUUCCCGGUGUAGCGGUGAAAUGCGCAGAUAUCGGGAGGAACACCGGUGGCGAAGGGCGGCUC
rnacentral:rRNA from 1 species